AUUGAACGAUGGCGGCAGGCCUAACACAUGCAAGUCGAGCGCGCGGAGGACGGGUGAGGAACGUCUGGGAAACUGCGCGAUGGAGGGGGAUAACUACUGGAAACGGUAUCUAAUACCGCAUACUACCAGAUGUGCCCAGAUGGGAUUAGGUAGUAAGUGGGGUAACGGCUCACCUAGGCGACGCUCCCUAGCUGGUCUGAGAGGAUGACCAGCCACACUGGAACUGAGACACGGUCCAGACUCCUACGGGAGGCAGCAGUGGGGGAUGUUGCACAAUGGGGGCGACCCUGAUGCAGCGAUGGCACGUGAGUGAAGAAGGCCUUCGGGUUGUAAAGCACUUUCAGAGUGGAGGCGUUACCCGCAGAAGAAGCACCGGCUAACUCCGUGCCAGCAGCCGCGGUAAUAC
rnacentral:rRNA from 1 species